UGCAGUCGACGGACUCUUCGGAGUUUAGUGGCGGACGGGUGAGUAACGCGUGAGAAUCUGCCUUCAGGUUGGGGACAACAGUUGGAAACGACUGCUAAUACCCAAUGUGCCGAGAGGUGAAAGCUUUAGUGCCUGAGGAUGAGCUCGCGUCUGAUUAGCUAGUUGGAGUGGUAAUGGCACACCAAGGCGACGAUCAGUAGCUGGUCUGAGAGGAUGAUCAGCCACACUGGGACUGAGACACGGCCCAGACUCCUACGGGAGGCAGCAGUGGGGAAUUUUCCGCAAUGGGCGCAAGCCUGACGGAGCAAGACCGCGUGAGGGAGGAAGGCUCUUGGGUUGUAAACCUCUUUUAUCAGGGAAGAAGAUCUGACGGUACCUGAUGAAUCAGCAUCGGCUAACUCCGUGCCAGCAGCCGCGGUAAUACGGAGGAUGCAAGCGUUAUCCGGAUUUAUUGGGCGUAAAGCGUCCGCAGGUGGUUUUACAAGUCUGCUGUUAAAGCGCGAGGCUUAACCUCGUACAGGCAGUGGAAACUGUGAGACUAGAGUGUGGUAGGGGUAGCGGGAAUUCCCAGUGUAGCGGUGAAAUGCGUAGAUAUUAGGAAGAACACCAGCGGCGAAAGCGCGCUACUGGGCCAUCACUGACACUCAUGGACGAAAGCUAGGGGAGCGAAAGGGAUUAGAUACCCCUGUAGUCCUAGCUGUAAACGAUGGAUACUAGGUGUUGCCCGUAUCGACCCGGGCAGUGCCGUAGCUAACGCGUUAAGUAUCCCGCCUGGGGAGUAUGCACGCAAGUGUGAAACUCAAAGGAAUUGACGGGGGCCCGCACAAGCGUGAGUAUGUGAUUAACUCGAUGCAACGCGAAGAAUCUUACCAGGGCUUGACAUGUCGCGAAU
rnacentral:rRNA from 1 species